GACGAACGCUGGCGGCGUGCUUAACACAUGCAAGUCGCGCGGAGCGGCGAACGGGUGAGUAAUACGUGAGUAACUGCCCUCCUUUUUGGGAUAAGCCUUGGAAACGGGGUCUAAUACCGAAUAAAGGGGGAUGGCUCGCGUCCUAUCAGCUUGUUGGUGGGGUAGUGGCCUACCAAGGCGACGACGGGUAGCCGGCCGGAGAGGGCGACCUGCCACAUUGGGCUGAGAUACGGCCCAAACUCCUACGGGAGGCAGCAGUGGGGAAUAUUGCACAAUGGGGGAAACCCUGAUGCAGCAACGCGCGUGCGGGAUGACGGCCUUCGGGUUGUAAACCGCUUUCAGCCAUGACGCGGUAGUGGCAGAAGAAGCACCGGCUAACUACGUGCCAGCAGCCGCGGUAAUUC
rnacentral:rRNA from 1 species